rnacentral:rRNA from 1 species
AAGACCCCUUGUAGACUACAAGGUUGAUAGGCUGAGCGUCUAAGCACAGUAAUGUGUUCAGCUACUCAGUACUAAUCGGUCGAGGGUUUGUCCUA